rnacentral:rRNA from 1 species
UACAGAGGGUGCAAGCGUUAAUCGGAAUUACUGGGCGUAAAGCGUGCGUAGGUGGUUAGCUAAGUCAGAUGUGAAAGCCCCGGGCUCAACCUGGGAAUUGCAUUUGAGACUGCGUAGCUAGGGUGCGGAAGAGGGAAGCGGAAUUUCCGGUGUAGCGGUGAAAUGCGUAGAUAUCGGAAGGAACACCAGUGGCGAAAGCGGCUUCCUGGUCCAGCACCGACGUUCAGGCACGAAAGCGUGGGGAGCAAACAGG